rnacentral:rRNA from 1 species
CUACGGGAUGCACCAGUGAGGAAUAUUGCACAAUGGGCGCAAGCCUGAUGCAGCAACGCCGCGUGAGGGAUGAAGGCCUUCGGGUUGUAAACCUCUUUUAGCAGGGAAGAAGCGAAAGUGACGGUACCUGCAGAAAAAGCACCGGCUAACUACGUGCCAGCAGCCGCGGUAAUACGUAGGGUGCAAGCGUUGUCCGGAAUUAUUGGGCGUAAAGAGCUCGUAGGCGGUUUGUCACGUCUGCUGUGAAAAUCCAAGGCUCAACCUUGGACUUGCAGUGGGUACGGGCAGGCUAGAGUGCGGUAGGGGAGAUGGGAAUUCCUGGUGUAGCGGUGGUAUGCGCAGAUAUCAGGAGGAACACCAAUGGCGAAGGCACAUCUCUGGGCCGUAACUGACGCUGAGGAGCGAAAGCGUGGGGAGCGAACAGGAUUAGAUACCCCGGUAGUC